UCCGGUAUGGUGUAGUGGCUAACAUUUCGCGUUUUCAUGGGUUCAACCCUUAAUCUAAGACCGCGAGGCCCCGGGUUCAAUUCCCGGUACCGGAA
rfam:Xylona heveae TC161 unplaced genomic scaffold L228scaffold_10, whole genome shotgun sequence.